AUUUUUCUUUACAUUAACUCCUCUCUGCUGAUGAUACAGAGCUGACAAUUCAGAAGAUGUAUUAGAAAAAGUUCUCAUGAAAGUGUGAAUUAGUAUAAACAUUUCUGAAAAUAGGAUCUCCAGAGAUAUUUUCUAAGCAAAGCACUUUUGUUAAGGAAACAGGGCAAUCUUUUGAACUCUGUAGCUUUGGGUCAAUAUAUGCAACAUUAUAACUUGGACUAUUUUCUUAACUGUAACUGUAGCAAAUAAAGACAUGCUAUAUGUGUAUCUCAUUGCCAUAAAAAAAAUAUUGAGAACAAUGGACCUGGAUUGUAUGUUUUCCCCAUUUUGUAACCAAAAUAUCUCCAUUAAGAAUAAUAAUGCAUUGUUGAAAGCUCUAAAAAGCAAUAAAUGAAGUAUAAACUUGUAGCCAAGGCUGUUAGCACAGAGGAAUGUGAUUUAGUAAACACAUAUAGUACUACAGUUUUAUGAGUUAUUUUAAAUACCAGGAACUUUGUCAUAACACAAAACAGAACUUCAAUUUUCACUUCAUUUGUUCACUGAUCAUUUUUAAAAACUAACCAUAGACUUAAUGCACUUGACUUGACACCUGUGUUUACCGCUUAACUAAAUGUUACCUUCACUAAAGUUCUAUAAAUUUCUGCCAAGUCAGGUAAUAUCAACAGAUUUUUUUGAGGCAUUCUUAAAAGCUGAAAACACCCCACCAAACCAAAAAUAACAUUAAGAACUUCAUUGACACACAGACCUUUGACAAGCUCUGCAGAGACGCAAAUAACAGAAAGAAUAUUGACUCUCCACUUUCUUUCACAGUUUUAAGCUCGUUAUGAACUCUUGCACUAAUACUCCAACAGUAAAAACUUCAGUAAUUAGCAACAGAUUAGAGUGGGACAACAGAAGACAGUCAACUAGUCUGCACUGUUUUUCAUAAUGGCUAAUAGUAUUUAUGAUUUCACUAACAUAAAAAUGGAAAAUACUGAAAAAUUCAUUAGACUUAAUUUUGUAUUGAGAAGGGGAAAAAAAAUGUCAAGAAAAGAAGUGAUCUUUUCCAGAACCAGUAGAAACGCAUGCAUUUGAAGUGAUAAUUCUGACAAGGAAAGGGAUCUGAAAAAAACAAAUCCAGAUAUAGAAAAGCUAUCAGAAUGAUGAAUCCAAGCUAAAACUGGCAGCCAGAGGUCAAGGUAACAAUUUUAUGGGUCUCCAAGGCCUUAUGAGAAAGCAAAAUGAACAUCUUUUACAUGCCACCAAAUGGUAUCUGAAACCAAUAUGCUGCCAUAAAAAUCAGCUGAAACAUAAAAGUACUGAGGCAUUGGCCUCACAUCUCUGACGACUUCUGUACUGCUCUCGCCACACUGUGAAUGGACAAGUGCUUACCAACACUCAGAAGACUGAGAAAAAAUUCUUACAGUGUAAAAAGUCCUCAGUUCAUUUGUUUCCAGCUAACUGAUAUUACGUUACGAGAAUCCAACUUGCAAUAUGGAAUAAUCAAAAAGGAAACUUGAAAUUAGUUGGCUCCUAUUUUAAAGCUCCCAGUGGGAAAGACACAGACAGUUCUGUACAAUGUAAUACCUUGCUAAGAAAGGUCAAGUCUUCAGGCUGCAUUAAGAGCUACAGAUGGAUUAUCAUCUACCUCAAAGGUGCAUGGCCUUUGAUUCCAUGGAUUUCAGUGUUUGGAUUGUGUUUCAAUGGCUUAAAACACAAAAAAAGCAUCAAUAGAAUCAAACUUUCCAUUGACAUAAAUGAAGGUAAUUGGGACUCAAAACAGAUGUCUUCAUUUUGCCCAUCUUGUAACUGAAAUAAGAGUGGUCAGAGAAUUGAAGUCCAAAACAGAAGUAAAGGCAAUAUGUCUUCCUUUCUAGGGUAAGAUAUUUUGGUAACUAUAAAAAUUACACUGAGAAAUCAUUCCUAACAUUCAUCUUUCUACCCUUUCUAAAUGUCACAUUGCAUAUGAUACCUAAAAGCAGUUUUGAUUUAUUGAUUAGGAACUUAAGGUCAUGCUAUCUCAUGGGCUUGCGCAGAAACAGUAUCUAAGAAAUAUUGUUAUAUACAAGAGCUAUUUGUCAUGGAAUAAAGUUACCUCUUUUACUAUAAUAUAAAGGAAAAAUUCAUCAUUUGAGUUUCUAAAUAAGCCUGUGAAAAUGAUUGAAGGCUGAAUGCAUCGCUCCAGAAAGAUGUCUUUGAAACUUGUUUUUGGACCUUUUAACUGUAUUAAUUUAUAUUAUCAAUAUGCAAAUUAGUCACAUUCAGUAAUGAUCAGAUGGUUAAGAGAUUAUUUAAGGUGUAUAAAAUCUGUGGGAAUGGCUAUUAUACAAAUUUGAUGAUGUUUUGUUCCAAGUACUGUUUACAAAGUACCUAUUUAAGGUCAUGUGUCUCCUUAUUUUAUGUGCAUGUAUGUCAUGGUUUGAUGUGACAGCCUUUUCUGGUAAGGGGAAAGGGGCUGUAAAGAUGGCUCCUGUAAGAAGUUGCUCACAAUUCUCCCCAGCUCUGAGAUCCACUUCUGGGGCUGAGCCAAUUAGACGCCUCCACGAUCACUUUUUAAGAAGAAGCUGGAAGAAGAGGUUUCUUCCUCCAUCUUCCUCCAUCUUCUUCCUUCUUCUCUGCCCCUUCUUUUUCUUCUGGCUGAUGGUGGUGCAAGGAGUAGGAACAGUGAGAGAAACAACCAUGUGGACUCCAAGGUCAGUGAUGAAAGAGAGAAGGAGGUGUGCUGGAGCAGAGACUCCCCUGCAUUCUAUGGAGGAUUGGUGAAACAGAUUUCUUUUCAUUUUUUUAAAGACCACACAUCAGCAGUAGAGACUCAUAUUGAUAAUGACCCCAUAUAAGGGGUAGGGACUCAUUUUGCUGAAGCUGGCCCCAGACCAGGGGCAGUAAUUCACUUCAUUAAAGGCCCCAAGCCAGGGACAGUGACUAUGGACGAAAGAGACCAUGUGCCAUGGGGGGGCUUCACUAUAGACCCCAAGCCAGGGGCAGUGAUUUUCUUCUUUAAAACUAUGGCUGGAAGAGGCCAUGUCCCGAAGGAGGGAUCCUUUAUCACUAUGGCCGGAGCAGGCCGCGUCCUGAGGAAGGGACCCAAUAUCCACAGCUGUAACUGUGGGGAAGAACCCACGACAAAGCAGCUCAUUAAAUUUAUGCCCAGAAGAGGCCUUGACCCUGUAACUGCAGAAACUACAACCAUAGUGAGGAAUCCACUCGAGAUAUUCACCAAGGACUGAGUCCCGUGUGAGGGACCCUGUAUCGACAGAAGCCACAGCUGUUGGGAACAACUCACACCAGAGAAAUUAAUUAAGGUCUGUGUCCCAUGGGAGGGACCCCGUGUUGGAACAGGGGAAGAAUGCCAGGAGUCAUCCUCAUCUGAGAAGACAGAAGCGGCAGAGCUCAUCUGUGAGAGACUGACCACAUCCCCCAUUCUCUGCCCCCCUGAGCUUUUGAGGGGGGAGGAGGUAGAGAUAUCGGGAGCAGUGAGCUGGGCCAAGGAAGAAAGGAGGGAUGGGGGAGGGAGAUGUUAAAGUGCUGGUUGUAAUUUUCUCAUCAU